GACAAUUCAUAAAACUGUUGUCAAUAGGGUAUGUAAGUCUCGUCAUGUGACUUGCGAGAUUUCACGAUAUUUUGCACUUCCGGGUACAAACAAACAUCAACAACAUUGCUUAUCUAUAUUGGGUAAUACUUGUAUGCCGGUGGGAAAGUAAAACUUACAUGGAAAAGCAAAUGAUAUGUGGAAAUGGCAGAGUUUUUUGUUUUGUAACGAAAUGCAAAUGGUUUCAUCUUGUGAACAAGUAUCAAUGAAAGACAACUUCGUAUAAUCUUCAGAUAUUUUGACUGAGGACUGUAAAGUGGUGAGAUGAAAGACGUGAACUGGUAUCCGAUGUUAAUACACAUGCAUGCUCUGCUGUAAAAUCGUUUUGGUAUGUGAUUUCUUGGUUGGAUCUUGAGUACUUGUCAUGGCUCUUGAUUUAUUUUGGAGUGUUCACCAUCAGAUUAGAAGUCAAAUAGUGAUACCACCAGGCAUAGUUGAAAGGAAAUGUCCAUACACAGUCUUGGAGUACAUAGUGGUAGAGACAUGGCAGUCCAUUACAGAUUUUGACUGAAUUAAAGCUUCUUAAAGCUCCAUGUCUUGUGUAAACUGUCUGACUGAAUGUUUGUAUUCUAAUAAAAACUAAGGUUGAAGACACUUCAAAGAUAUAUGUCAGUGUAAAAAUGUUAUUUAAACAAAAUAUCUGUCUUUGUUAGAAAUAAAUAACCUGUCUUUAUUAGAAAUAAUUAACCUGUCAUUUGUAACUUUGUAUUAACUUAAUUAUUCAAAGAUAAUUUAUCUUCUGCAAAUGGCUGCCCCAAAAACAGUUUCAACCAGGCAUCAUGUAGUUUCAAAACAGUUAAGAUAAAUUUGUUAUAAAUAGACUUGUAAAGUAACAGGAAUGGUAAAAAGAUAAAUGUUCAGCAUUAAAAUGUUUCUAUCUUGA